rnacentral:rRNA from 1 species
ACGUAAACUUUGAUCCGAAGAUUUCCGAAUGAGGAAACUCACUUAGAGUAAUGUCUAAGUAUCAUUAAGUGAAUACAUAGCUUAAUGAGGGGAACUCAGGGAACUGAAACAUCUAAGUACCUGAAGGAAGAGAAAGAAAUUCGAUUCCGUAAGUAGCGGCGAGCGAACGCGGAUUAGCCCAAACUAAUAAAGUUUUCUUUAUUGGGGUUGCGGACAUAUCAUAACGAAGAGGUAUCGUAAUUGAAGAGGUUUGGAAAGACCCACCACAGAAGGUAAUAGU